UCGCAUCUGUGCAUGCAGCAUAUCAAUAAGCGGAGGAAAAGAAACUAACAAGGAUUCCCUUAGUAACGGCGAGUGAAGCGGGAAGAGCUCAAAUUUGAAAUCUUCAAGGUUUUACCUUGACGAAUUGUAGUUUAAAGAAGUGUUUUCUGUUGAAGUUUUGGUAAAAGUUCUUUGGAAUAGGACAUCAUAGAGGGUGAGAAUCCCGUAUUUGACCAUUAUUUUCAGCUGUGUGAUACACUUUCAAAGAGUCGGAUUGUUUGGGAAUGCAGUCCAAAAUGGGUGGUAAAUUUCAUCUAAAGCUAAAUAUUGGCGAGAGACCGAUAGCGAACAAGUACCGUGAGGGAAAGAUGAAAAGAACUUUGAAAAGAGAGUUAAACAGUACGUGAAAUUGUCAAAAGGGAAGCGUUUGACACCAGUGUUGUUUUCUCGAAAAUCAAUUAAAAAGAGUUUGAUUUUGUUGUGUAUUGACCUUAACAGCUUGCAUUUCAAUUUUCUUGCUUUUUUUAAUGCACUUUUCGUUCAACAAGUCAACAUCAGUUUCUUUUGUUGUAAAAAGGUCAUUGGAGGGUGGCUUUCUUUUCGGAGAAAGUGUUUAUAGCCUUUGACUCCUGCAAUCGGAGAGACUGAGGUCUGCAGCGUAGAUCCUUCGGGGUUAGAUACAUUUGUGCUAAGUUAUAGCUUUUUAUAGACAACUUGUUGACUAUGAUUAGUCUUGUAGCUUACUCGCUUAUGCUAUUUUACCUACGCUUAGGAUGUUGACACACGCGCGUGCUCG
rnacentral:rRNA from 1 species